UCAGAAAUGGCACCUUGCAAGGGGAAGGAAAAGAAGAACAGGUUAUCAGCUUCAGGCCUCAAGUGGCUGAAGGAGAGAAUGCCUUUGGUAUCUGCCACAUUUUUACAUCCUUCAACGACACCUUUGUCCAUGUUACCGAUCUUUCUGGCAAGGAAACCAUCUGCAGAAUGAAUGGUGAAAUGAAGGUAAAGGCUGACAGAGAUGAGUCUUCUCCAUGUUGGCUGCCCAGGAUGUUGUCCAGAGGUGCAAUGAGCUGGGCAUCACUGCCCUGCAUACCAAACUCCGAGCUAUGGGAAGAAACAGGACCAAGACCCCUGGACCUGAAGCUCAGUUAGCCUACAGAGAUCUUACUUGUUCAGGGAUGAAGAUUGGGCAGAUUGAGAAUGUCACCCCAUCCCCUCUGAUAGCACUCGAAGGAAGAAGGAUGGUCUUCGUGGUUGCCAUCUGUGA